rnacentral:misc_RNA from 1 species
AACUCACGAGAGUAAAGAUUCACAAAACUAUAUCAACAUGUGCCCUACCAAGCCAAAACACCGCACUUCCGGCUCUGAAUCUACCGCCUCCAAAUCCAAUUUCAACGCCCCUACCACCACCACCACCACCUCCGCAUCCACUGCCUGGAUCUCCGAGACACUCGACGGUGGAUCCCUGCGCCGCGUUAACCUCGACGAUGGAACCAACGGCUGGGCCUCGCCUCCAGGUCACCUUUUCUCUCUGCGUGCUAAAAACUAUUUCACUAAACGACAGAAAUCCCCUUCCGGCGAUUACUUACUCUCCCCUGCCGGCAUGGAUUGGCUCAAGUCCACUGCCAAAAUCGAUAACGUACUCGCCCGCCCUGACAACCGUGUGUCCCUGGCUCUCAGAAAGGUUCAGUCCCAAGGGAAAUCACUGAAAUGUUUCGUCUUCGCUGUUAACCUUCAAGUUCCCGGUAAGGACAAUCACAGUGCGGUGUUUUACUUUGUAACAGAGGAUCCUAUCCCUCCCGGUUCUCUAUUGUAUCGGUUCAUCAAUGGAGAUGACUCGUUUAGGAAUCAGCGGUUCAAGAUUGUGAACCGGAUCGUGAAAGGACCUUGGAUCGUGAAGAAAACAGUAGGGAGCUAUAGUGCUUGUUUGCUAGGUAAAGCCUUAACCUGUAAUUAUCAUCGAGGAGCCAAUUAUUUGGAGAUUGAUGUGGAUAUAGGGAGCUCGAAGAUAGCCACCGCUAUUUUGCACCUUGCAUUGGGAUACGUGACAAGCGUUACUGUUGAUAUGGGGUUUGUGGUGGAGGCGCAAGCAGAGGAUGAGUUGCCUGAGAAAUUAAUCGGUGCGGUUAGAGUUUGCCAAAUGGAGAUGUCAUCGGCGACUGUAGUUGAGGCGCCGAACACAACGGUGGCGCGUGGGAUAGGGUUAUCCAAGGUUAAACAUCACGAGUCCGGCGAAGACGACGACGACGACGAUCAAUAAUGCCAACACAUGGUGGUUUUUUUCGCCCUUCCUUUACCCGAUUUUAAUUUUAGUUUAUCUUGUUAACCUCAUCCGUGAGUUGGAAAUUGGAAGGCUCUCUUUACGGGGAUUGAUGAUUGUAGAUAAUAAAAUGGUGACAAUCAACGAUUGGGGAUUUUAACCUUCUUUUCUGCCAUAUUUUAUUUGCUUAAACUUUAUUACUGAUUGGGCUCUUAGGAAAGAGUGCUAGUUUUGUUGGUUUCUGUUGACGAACAAUGGGGCAGAGGGUGGAUAAGAUGGCCGAAGAGGUGAUGAGUUGCUUGCUUUUUGGCUAGUUUAGGCCUUUGUGCUGUGCUUGUGCUUCUCUUUGGUGCUUGUUCUUUUGCAUUUGUUGUUGUGCGACUUUCACUGAUGUGAUAUUUUUGGUGGGGACUGCCGUGCAGGUUUUGGUGGUGGGUUUUUUUGGCAUGGCAAAUGUGAAAUGUGAUGGUGAAAAGGUAGGUGAAAUAUCGCAGUACAACUCAAAAAAUGAAAGUUGGUUAUCAGUUAAAAAAAUUUGCUAGGCAGCCAUUAGUACAUUACUAUUUUAGCCUUGGUAAGUAAUAUUAGAUAUUAUAAUAACCAUUAACUAUCCUAGUAAAUAUCAAUUGUUUCAAUAAUUAUUAGUGAUUGGUAAUUUAUAUAGUGAAUUUGCAUGGUGAUUUAAAUAAAAAAUAUUUACUAAAAUAAGUUGUAAAAAUAAUGAUAUUAUUUUAUUAUUUUUAAUUAAAAUAAUUUUUCAAUCUUUAAAAGUUAUAAGUAAUUUUUUAUGAACUAUUCA